rnacentral:rRNA from 1 species
AAAAAAAAAAAAAGCAAUGAAAAUUAUUUUAGCAUAAUGAGCCAAAAUAAUCUAAAUAGUCCUGUCCAAAAACCGUGCCAGCAGUCGCGGUAAUACGGUAAGGGCCACCCAUCGGAAUCUUAAGUAGGCGUCAAGGGUGCGUAGCUUGUCAUUAAGACUAGAGUUUUAUCGGGGCAAGACCCACACACGGAGGAGGGCUUAAAUUCAUUGAUCCCGUGGCGAGGGCUAAUGGCGAAGGCAUUUUGCUAGAUAAAUACUGACGGUAAGGCACGAAAGCCAGGGCAGGGAAGCCGAUUAGAGACCGUCGUACUCCUGGCUGUAAACUAUGCAGACCCAACUUUAGUUUUUGAUAAUUUAAGUUGCCGCUAACGCUUUGAGUCUGCCGCCAGCAUGGUACAGCCGCAAGGCCGACACGCAAACGACGAGACCGUCUGUGGUAUUAAUCGGGUGCGGGGCAUGCUGUUUAAUCCGUCAAUACGCGUAAAAUCUUACCAUGUCUUGAAUAUUAAUUAAUUGCUUUUAUUAGCUAAAUUUAAUUAAUACAGGUGUUGCAUGGCUGUCGUCAGCUAGUGCUUGUAAGGCGUAAGGUUUGUUCCAUAUAACUAGCGCAAGCCUCACCAUAUAUUACUUGUGUGGCCCUUAUUUUAUGCAAAUUUGGUGUUGAGGAGUAUGAC